UAAGGAAUAUUGGACAAUGGACGCAAGUCUGAUCCAGCCAUGCCGCGUGAAGGAUGAAUGCCCUCUGGGUUGUAAACUUCUUUUAUAGGGGAAGAAAGAUACUUUUUUUAAGGUAGUUGACGGUACCCUAUGAAUAAGCACCGGCUAACUCCGUGCCAGCAGCCGCGGUAAUACGGAGGGUGCAAGCGUUAUCCGGAUUUACUGGGUUUAAAGGGUGCGUAGGCGGGCAUGUAAGUCAGUGGUGAAAUACCGGAGCUUAACUUCGGAACUGCCAUUGAAACUAUAUGUCUUGAAUAUUGUGGAGGUAAGCGGAAUAUGUCAUGUAGCGGUGAAAUGCAUAGAUAUGACAUAGAACACCGAUUGCGGAGGCAGCUUGCUACGCAAAUAUUGACGCUGAGGCACGAAAGCGUGGGGAUCAAACA
rnacentral:rRNA from 1 species